rnacentral:rRNA from 1 species
UUAAGCGACUAAGCGUACACGGUGGAUGCCCUGGCAGUCAGAGGCGAUGAAGGACGUGCUAAUCUGCGAUAAGCGUCGGUAAGGUGAUAUGAACCGUUAUAACCGGCGAUUUCCGAAUGGGGAAACCCAGUGUGAUUCGUCACACUAUCAUUAACUGAAUCCAUAGGUUAAUGAGGCGAACCGGGGGAACUGAAACAUCUAAGUACCCCGAGGAAAAGAAAUCAACCGAGAUUCCCCCAGUAGCGGCGAGCGAACGGGGAGCAGCCCAGAGCCUGAAUCAGUGUGUGUGUUAGUGGAAGCGUCUGGAAAGGCGUGCGAUACAGGGUGACAGCCCCGUACACAAAAAUGCACAUACUGUGAGCUCGAUGAGUAGGGCGGGACACGUGGUAUCCUGUCUGAAUAUGGGGGGACCAUCCUCCAAGGCUAAAUACUCCUGACUGACCGAUAGUGAACCAGUACCGUGAGGGAAAGGCGAAAAGAACCCCGGCGAGGGGAGUGAAAAAGAACCUGAAACCGUGUACGUACAAGCAGUGGGAGCACGCUUAGGCGUGUGACUGCGUACCUUUUGUAUAAUGGGUCAGCGACUUAUAUUCUGUAGCAAGGUUAACCGAAUAGGGGAGCCGAAGGGAAACCGAGUCUUAACUGGGCGUUAAGUUGCAGGGUAUAGACCCGAAACCCGGUGAUCUAGCCAUGGGCAGGUUGAAGGUUGGGUAACACUAACUGGAGGACCGAACCGACUAAUGUUGAAAAAUUAGCGGAUGACUUGUGGCUGGGGGUGAAAGGCCAAUCAAACCGGGAGAUAGCUGGUUCUCCCCGAAAGCUAUUUAGGUAGCGCCUCGUGAAUUCAUCUCCGGGGGUAGAGCACUGUUUCGGCAAGGGGGUCAUCCCGACUUACCAACCCGAUGCAAACUGCGAAUACCGGAGAAUGUUAUCACGGGAGACACACGGCGGGUGCUAACGUCCGUCGUGAAGAGGGAAACAACCCAGACCGCCAGCUAAGGUCCCAAAGUCAUGGUUAAGUGGGAAACGAUGUGGGAAGGCCCAGACAGCCAGGAUGUUGGCUUAGAAGCAGCCAUCAUUUAAAGAAAGCGUAAUAGCUCACUGGUCGAGUCGGCCUGCGCGGAAGAUGUAACGGGGCUAAACCAUGCACCGAAGCUGCGGCAGCGACGCUUAUGCGUUGUUGGGUAGGGGAGCGUUCUGUAAGCCUGCGAAGGUGUGCUGUGAGGCAUGCUGGAGGUAUCAGAAGUGCGAAUGCUGACAUAAGUAACGAUAAAGCGGGUGAAAAGCCCGCUCGCCGGAAGACCAAGGGUUCCUGUCCAACGUUAAUCGGGGCAGGGUGAGUCGACCCCUAAGGCGAGGCCGAAAGGCGUAGUCGAUGGGAAACAGGUUAAUAUUCCUGUACUUGGUGUUACUGCGAAGGGGGGACGGAGAAGGCUAUGUUGGCCGGGCGACGGUUGUCCCGGUUUAAGCGUGUAGGCUGGUUUUCCAGGCAAAUCCGGAAAANAAGGCUGAGGCGUGAUGACGAGGCACUACGGUGCUGAAGCAACAAAUGCCCUGCUUCCAGGAAAAGCCUCUAAGCAUCAGGUAACAUCAAAUCGUACCCCAAACCGACACAGGUGGUCAGGUAGAGAAUACCAAGGCGCUUGAGAGAACUCGGGUGAAGGAACUAGGCAAAAUGGUGCCGUAACUUCGGGAGAAGGCACGCUGAUAUGUAGGUGAAGUCCCUCGCGGAUGGAGCUGAAAUCAGUCGAAGAUACCAGCUGGCUGCAACUGUUUAUUAAAAACACAGCACUGUGCAAACACGAAAGUGGACGUAUACGGUGUGACGCCUGCCCGGUGCCGGAAGGUUAAUUGAUGGGGUUAGCGCAAGCGAAGCUCUUGAUCGAAGCCCCGGUAAACGGCGGCCGUAACUAUAACGGUCCUAAGGUAGCGAAAUUCCUUGUCGGGUAAGUUCCGACCUGCACGAAUGGCGUAAUGAUGGCCAGGCUGUCUCCACCCGAGACUCAGUGAAAUUGAACUCGCUGUGAAGAUGCAGUGUACCCGCGGCAAGACGGAAAGACCCCGUGAACCUUUACUAUAGCUUGACACUGAACAUUGAGCCUUGAUGUGUAGGAUAGGUGGGAGGCUUUGAAGUGUGGACGCCAGUCUGCAUGGAGCCGACCUUGAAAUACCACCCUUUAAUGUUUGAUGUUCUAACGUUGACCCGUAAUCCGGGUUGCGGACAGUGUCUGGUGGGUAGUUUGACUGGGGCGGUCUCCUCCUAAAGAGUAACGGAGGAGCACGAAGGUUGGCUAAUCCUGGUCGGACAUCAGGAGGUUAGUGCAAUGGCAUAAGCCAGCUUGACUGCGAGCGUGACGGCGCGAGCAGGUGCGAAAGCAGGUCAUAGUGAUCCGGUGGUUCUGAAUGGAAGGGCCAUCGCUCAACGGAUAAAAGGUACUCCGGGGAUAACAGGCUGAUACCGCCCAAGAGUUCAUAUCGACGGCGGUGUUUGGCACCUCGAUGUCGGCUCAUCACAUCCUGGGGCUGAAGUAGGUCCCAAGGGUAUGGCUGUUCGCCAUUUAAAGUGGUACGCGAGCUGGGUUUAGAACGUCGUGAGACAGUUCGGUCCCUAUCUGCCGUGGGCGCUGGAGAACUGAGGGGGGCUGCUCCUAGUACGAGAGGACCGGAGUGGACGCAUCACUGGUGUUCGGGUUGUCAUGCCAAUGGCACUGCCCGGUAGCUAAAUGCGGAAGAGAUAAGUGCUGAAAGCAUCUAAGCACGAAACUUGCCCCGAGAUGAGUUCUCCCUGACUCCUUGAGAGUCCUGAAGGAACGUUGAAGACGACGACGUUGAUAGGCCGGGUGUGUAAGCGCAGCGAUGCGUUGAGCUAACCGGUACUAAUGAACCGUGAGGCUUAACCUU